AAGUGUGAUCAUACCCUCAAUAAUGCACCGAAUCCCAUCAGAACUCCGCAUUUAAGCAUGCUUGGGCGAGAGUAGUACUAGAAUGGGUGACAUCCUGGAAUGUCCUCGUGUUGCACCAC
rnacentral:rRNA from 1 species